rnacentral:misc_RNA from 1 species
AAUGGCCAGCCUCACCUCCGCCGCCGUCACCAUCCCCUCCUUCACCGGCCUAAAGGCCGGCAGAGCCGCCCCCACUCCAUCAACAAGCAUCAAACCACCAACCCCAAUGUCCUUCUCAGUCAAGGCCUCCCUCAAGGAGGCGCUCGGCACCGCCCUCGUGGCCACCGCCGCAGGCGCCGUCCUUGCCAGUAACGCACUAGCAGUGGAGGUUCUCCUCGGGGGUGACGACGGGUCGUUGGCUUUCGUGCCAAGCAGCAUCCAAGUUGCACCGGGGGAGACAAUUGUGUUCAAGAACAACGCCGGGUUCCCGCACAAUGUGUUGUUCGAUGAGGAUGAGGUGCCGUCAGGAGUUGAUGCCGGGGCUCUGUCGAUGAAGGAGGAGGAUCUGCUCAACGCGCCGGGGGAGACCUACUCGGUGACGCUGAAGGAGAAGGGCACUUACAGCAUCUAUUGCUCUCCUCACCAGGGGGCCGGUAUGGCCGGAAAGAUUAUUGUUAAUUAGGGUUUUGAAGAAGUUGGUUCCUGUUUUUAGGUGAGUUUUGGGGGGAAUGAGCUGAAUGCAUCCAUGCUGCGAAGUCUGUGUGUAACUAUUGAAAUUUCUGAAACCUAAUUUUAAGUAUGUGUACCAAGACCAUUUUAUAUUGAUAUCAUUUGUGAUUGAUA